CCUACGGGAGGCAGCAGUAGGGAAUAUUGCGCAAUGGAGGCAACUCUGACGCAGCGACGCCGCGUGGGUGACGAAGGUCUUCGGAUCGUAAAGCCCUGUCGGAAGGGACGAAAGACUAGAUGGCUAAUAUCCAUCUCGAGUGACGGUACCUUUAAAGGAAGCACCGGCUAACUACGUGCCAGCAGCCGCGGUAAUACGUAGGGUGCAAGCGUUGUUCGGAAUCAUUGGGCGUAAAGCGCGUGUAGGCGGCUAAUUAAGUCGGGUGUGAAAUCCCUCGGCUCAACCGAGGAAGUGCAUUCGAAACUGGUUAGCUUGAAGAUGGUAGGGGAAGGUGGAAUUCCUAGUGUAGAGGUGAAAUUCGUAGAUAUUAGGAGGAAUACCUGUGGCGAAGGCGGCCUUCUGGGCCACUCUUGACGCUGAGACGCGAAAGCGUGGGUAGCAAACAGGAUUAGAUACCCCGGUAGUC
rnacentral:rRNA from 1 species